rnacentral:sRNA from 1 species
AAAUACAAUUAUGAGAGGACUGAUGAAUGGACAAUGAUUAACUAAUCUGUAUUUUUAUUUGAAAUGAAAAACUUCAAACUACAAAAUAUAGGAUUAGUCUGUCCAUUUUUAUAAAUCAGUUUACACUUUCUUUGUCAUGGUUCCGAUGGCAAAAUAGAGCUUAUUUACUAUAAGCGAAAGACUAAUCCUUCCAAUUUUCAAAUUGGGAGGAUUUUUUU